GAGCGCUGGACAGAAUGGUGCACAGAAUCCUCCUACAAUACCAACAAAAAGGACAAUAAGGAUCCUAUCUAACACAGUCAGCUGGAUACUGACAGUUCAAAAACAACAAAAAAAGUGUGAAGUGACAUAAAACAAGAACAGCUGCACGCUCUGAACCUUCAGCCAACAGUCAAGUACAAGUGACUUGACCCUUGCAGGAUUCUCAUGGGCAGAGGAAAAAUGUAGCAGUGAAGACAGACAUGACUAACAAUGCUGAGAGUUUUGCCAGACUUCAAGCAAUACUACUGGAACUUACUUCAGUCUUCAAACAGAGAUACAUCACAGAACUUCUCAGAUGGAAAAUACAGCACCGUCUGUAAACUGAGACUAGCAGAAAAGAGCAUCCUUUACAGGAAUACUCAAGGACAUUAAGAGAUUAAACCACAUAACAGAACUAUCAAGAACUUAACAUCAAAAUGUUAUUGCAUCACUCAAACACAUGGGCCUUUCCCCUCACGAAGAUAAUCCUGGUAUUGGGUUCUGAAGCAUCCUACACAAACUUCAUCCCAAGAGGUCAGUAGCCACAGGACAGAGCUAGAAAAUUGUUUUCAACAGUGAUAUAGUUCCAACAGGCUCUGUUAGAACAACCUCGUUUAGAACUAGUUUGCUAUCUAACCUGCUCCACAUAAAGCAACUUACAGUUUUGUUCCAAUACUUGCAUUUUAGUAUGAUUUCUGAUGAGCAUUCCUUAAGCUUCAGUUUUUACUAAAAAAAAUAUAUACUGACAGUAACUUACAACACAAAAUUUGCACUGGAAUUUCUCCAGUAAAGUUGCUUGGUUAGGAAAAAAGGAUUUAACUCUGGCAAAAAGCAACACUCCUAAAAAGGACUCAAAAGGCACAUCUCUUAAGUCUUUAGAAACUGGCAGGUUUCUACUUUCCUUACCAUAUCAGAUUUUGGGUUGUUUUGUGCCACCAGUCUAACAGUACUAAGGUAGAUACUAACAAUUAAGAAAAGCUCUCUCAAUAACUGCUACAGAAUCUGCCAAACACUCCGUUUUGUCUGACACUGAAUUCAGGUUCCUGCCUGGACAAAGUUCAAUGCUGUUGGGGCACUAACAGCUGGGUGACACAGGCUGCAGAUCCUAGGCCAGAGUAGUGCCUACCCAAGGCACUGAGAACAUUUAGUAACUCAACACAGUUUCUUGUAUGAAAGAUCCUGAAAAGUGCUAGAAACAGUCAGUGACUGUCCUUGUUGAUAGACGGAAGUAUAAACAUCAUCUGUUCUCUUCCAGGGGCCUGAAUC